CACGGAGUUAGCCGGUGCUUAUUCACCAGGUACCGUCAGUGAAGGACGCAUCCCCCUUUUUCUUCCCUGGCAAAAGCAGUUUACGACUCAGAAAGCCUUCAUCCUGCACGCGGCAUGGCUGGGUCAGCCUCUCGGCCAUUGCCCAAUAUUCCCUACUGCUGCCUCCCGUAGGAGUCGGGCCCGUAUCUCAGUGCCCGUGUGGGGGACCAGCCUCUCAGCUCCCCUAGCCAUCGUCGCCUUGGUGAGCCGUUACCUCCCCAACUAGCUAAUGGCACGCAGCCCCAUCCGAAUCCAAUAAAUCUUUAACCAUUAUGUGAUGCCACAUUGUGGUUUUAUGCGGUAUUAAUCCGCCUUUCGGCGGGCUAUCCCCCAGAUUCGGGUAGGUUGGCUACGCGUUACGCACCCGUGCGCCACUAUCAGUAUUGCUACUGACCGUUCGACUUGCAUGUAUUAGGCCUGCCGCUAGCGUUCAUCCUGAGCCAGGAUCAAACUCU
rnacentral:rRNA from 1 species